GGAUGUGAGGGUGAUCUGGCUGUGACAUCUGUCACCCCAUUUAUCACCAGGGUUGAUUCAGCUGAUCUGGCUGGCUAGGCGGGUGUCCUGUACCUCCCUCACCACUCUAUGUGUGUCACUCCCGAAGGGGCACGCUUGGUCGAAGAGGACCACCUUCCCUGAAUAGAGACGGACCGGUCUUCGGUCGAGUGUAUACAAGUAGCUGCGCUCCCCUGCUAGAACCUCCAAACAAGCUCUCAAAAACCAUAGGAUAAGAGGGAUACAACUCCACACCAUUCCCACCACCAAGCUCCGUAUUCCAUCCCCUCCCCUGAUAGCU
rnacentral:snRNA from 1 species